UUUAAUUGCUAUAGAUAUUGGACAAGUUCAUAAUGCCAUCUACCAAAAAAGCAUCUCCAUGUUAGAGAUAAUGGUAUAAUCUUAUCUAUACUAAUUCAUCAUGAUAAAAAUGAUGACCCAAAAUGAUAAGAUUCAUUUAAUUGAUGAGUAGAUGUUUAAUUAUUUAAUUAUAGCUUAUAUUUGAAUUUUCAUGGAAUAAGUUGAUUGGAAAGAAAGAACUAUGGGACACCUUUUAUCAAUCGGCUUUGCUGGGGCCCCUCUAAAGCGACUCCUUCUCCCUAGGCUAUAUGUUGUGGGGAAUUUAGCUUCAACAGAAUGCAUGUGUCUUUGAGAACCAAUGACAACAAAGGGAUGCGAUUAGACGAGUGAUAGAAGGAGCUGGAGAUUUCUUCACUCUAUCCUCAUCCAUCAACCUUUAUAGCUGGUUGUUACUUUAAGCUUAGCAGAGAGGGAUCUUCAAUGGACAACCCCAAGAUAAUGGGUGCCGGUGGAAGGAAAAUGAAUCAUUGGAGCAUAUAGACAUUUCGAAAGCAACUAAUGCCGAAACUGAGUUGUAGGCACUUAGGGACAAACUACUCAUGGCUUGCAACCUAAAUAUUAGGCAUGGAAAUAGAUGCAAACUAUUGAUAUUAAUUCUCUAUUUCUCUUUUGUCUCUCUCAUUGAUGAAUGUAAUUAGAUUUAUGAGAUCCAAAUUAUUAAUUAAUAAUAAAAAUAUAUAUUGAAACUAAACUUAAUUAUGAUAUAUAUAUAAUAUUGUAAAACUAUUUUGUAUUACUAUAAAUAAUAUAUUAAUUAAUGUUUAAAAAAAAAUCCAAAAACAGCCUCUAAAAAUUGAAAUUCAAAUGCACUUAAAAACAGGAAAUGAAGGUGGAAAAACAAAAAGAUGAAGAUGGACGACUUUGUAAGCAAUAUUCAUAUGUAGAUAAAUCUCAAACAAAAAGACAAAAAAAAACACUAAAAAAGACAAAAAUUCC
rnacentral:lncRNA from 1 species